rnacentral:misc_RNA from 1 species
AAAAGUCGUAACAAGGUUUCCGUAGGUGAACCUGCGGAAGGAUCAUUACCAAAUCCAAAAAACUUUAUCAACACCCAAUGUGAACUGAGAAUGGUUUCGUCCCCUCGCAAGAGGGGAUGUUAUUUUUCAUUCAACCCCUUUUCAACCAUACAACCCAUUACUUGAUGCUGAAAGCAAACCAAAAAAAAACGAAACAUGAGACAACUUUUAACGGUGGAUCUCUUGGCUCGU